CUCGGCAAACACAAGCCUCGCCUGUUUACCAAAAACAUCGCCUCUUGUAUUACUAAAAUAAGAGGUCCCGCCUGCCCUGUGACUAUAUGUUCAACGGCCGCGGUAUUUUAACCGUGCAAAGGUAGCGCAAUCACUUGUCUUUUAAAUGAAGACCUGUAUGAAUGGCACGACGAGGGCUUAACUGUCUCCUUUUUCCAGUCAAUGAAAUUGAUCUUCCCGUGCAGAAGCGGGAAUAUACCCAUAAGACGAGAAGACCCUGUGAAGCUUCAAGACAAAAGACAGACCAAGCUCAGCACCUCAAACAAAAUGAACUUACACACCAGAUCCUGUCCUCAUGUCUUCGGUUGGGGCGACCACGGAGAAACAAAAAACCCCCAUGUGGACGAAGAGCACCACUAUUACCCUUCCCCCUCCUACAACCAAGAGCUAUAACUCAAAGUAACAAAACUUUUGACCAUAUACGAUCCGGCAACGCCGAUUAACAAACCAAGUUACUCCAGGGAUAACAGCGCAAUCCCCUUUUAGAGCCCCUAUCGACAAGGGGGUUUACGACCUCGAUGUUGGAUCAGGACAUCCUAAUGGUGCAGCCGCUAUUAAGGGUUCGUUUGUUCAAC
rnacentral:rRNA from 1 species